AAGGAUGAGUCAUGUUAAAAUUAAUUUGCAGUGAAGAAUAAUUGUGUUUUAAAGUGGCUAAUUUUUGUUUUUGAGCUGGCUUCCCAUUAUGCUAUAUAUAGCGUUGAACAAGAACAAGGUGGAAGCUAAGUGCAUUUUAGGUAAUUUAACUACCUUUGAUUUUUAAUUAAGAUUACUAGAAAUCUUAAUGAUACAGACUGAUAAAUAUUUGGUAUUUAUACAAUACAAGCCUUUAAAUUUUACAUGUAUAUGGCUGUAUUAUUGUAAUGCAUAAAACAUUACAUUUACAAAUUAAAUAUUCAAUUUAUAUUUACUAAUUAAAUAUUUGAUGUAUUGAAACAUUGAUUUAUGAGCAGAGUGUUGUAAUACAGUUUCCGACCACCAGUGGCAGCACUCAGGUGAGCGAAUAAAAACAAAACAUAGCGUUGCGCGCCAUAUUGGAUAUAGUGUUGCAAAGACUUUAAUGGAAAUUACGCGUACUCCCUAUGAAUUAGCUGAGGUUUUUUUUUUUUUUUUUAUACUUAACGCCGGCCUACAAUAUAUUUUUCCAGUUCUAACAUGUCGUCGAGAAGUCCAGCUUGCCUCAAGAACUGAAAGAUGUUGUGCCUCCUGCUUCCCACUCUGACCAGAGAGCAGCCAGCCACAGCCCGUGACUUCAUCCAGCCCAUAAACUGCUGCUGUCAUUGCUGAAGGCCCAGGCUAGUAAUGGGCAGCUGGGACGCCAUGUGUUUGAACAGCCCCCCAGAUCUUCUACAUACAUCUCCGAUCAACACCCAGCAGCCCAGGACAUCAGCAGUGAAGAAGGCGGACUUGCAAGCUUGUUUUAACUUCUGCAUCUAUUGGAGAGAAGAACCAAAAGCAUAGAAGUAAGGAUUAAGAGGGGGAGAAAAACCAGUCAGGAUUUAUUUGCCUUCUAGCCAUAAAAUGGAUGUAAAGCCUGCUGUAGCCACUUGGAAGUUGUUGUCAGCGAGGCUGACUCAGCUGGACUCUGAGUACCUAAAAGUUUGAUGUAAAUUGUCUAGUGAAAUGGAACUUUCAUAAACCAGAAGUACAUUUUUCUCUGAAGUCUGAAUUACUAUUAUUAGAUAGAUAGAAAAUUAAUCUUUAUGAAAGUGGGUCAUUAUUGCAGCAAAUUCUACACGGAUAUAGAAAAGAAAAAUAUAAUACCAGAAUAGUGGAGCAAAUAGAAUACUGAACAAUCAGAACACCAGAACACAUUAAGCAAAAUUAUUUGAGUAAAAAGCAAGACAUGUAUAAAUCAUGUGCAGCGUAAGAGCAGUGCAGUAUGAGACACAUUUGGAAAGCAGAGACAGUUGCUAGUUUAACUCAAAGUCAGAAUACAAAGAAACUAAUGAAAAAUAUACAUAAUUUUUAAGUGUCAAAUAUUCCCUUCCUUCCCUUCAAGAUUCAUAUGAUAUUUAACAAGAUUUCAUAUGAAGGGAUUUUAUUUAUUUGGAUUACCAGGUCUACAGAAGGCAAUAUAUACAGUAUUUACAGUAAGUUUGCAGGUGUACACUGUACACAUGAUCACUGUUUCAGUGUAUUAAAUACAUUGUGUGCAAUGUAGGUAAUAUACAGGACACAAAGAUACUGUAUGUUGUAGUUGUUUCUCCUCUAAAAACAUAAAAUGGAGGUACAGAAAAUAGUGAUAGUGGGCAAGAACUUUUGCUUUUUGUUUUGAUGACUUAUUGUUUGGUUCUAAGAUGUAAGAACUUGUGAUUUGGACUGCUUGACUCUAGAAAAUUGUACAGAUGCAGAGAGUGGCAAAAUUGCACUAAAUGUCCAUGAAAAUGUGACUUUGAUCUUAUUAAAAAUGUUCCAUCAGGAGUUUUCCUUUCAUGACAUCAAUCAUGUGGAAAGACUGAGUCUUUUUUCCAAAUGGUUGAUAUCCGGUUUUGGAAAAGCUCCUCUCUUGUGGUUAUUAUACCCACACACAGUAUGGCAGUACAUUGUAAAAAUGACAUUUUCCUUGCUCAGUUGACUGGGUGUGCAUAAAUAAACACAAACAAAAUGUUUCUGCCCAGAGCAUCCAUCACUCUCCUUCAAACUGCACAGAGUCAAGGCAAUGUGUCUGCGUGCGGCCAUAGUGUGAAAAAGAUGGCCGUAAGAAUCUUUGCUGAUCUCAUAUGUUGUCUUUCUAAAUAGUUAGUUGUAUACUCAUGAUGUGCUGUAUGUAAUGUUUGUGCAACACAUCAUAGACAUUGAUCAAAUUAAGUUGAUAUCCUCAUAUUAUUAUUUUUACUAACUUUGAAUUUUUUUUUUUUACCAAACUGUAUAGCCAAUAGUCAUAAACAUCUGAUGAUAAUUAUUCUCUUUUUUUGUAAUGCAAGUUCUGAAUGUAGUAUAGUAUUUGAUUAAAAUGUAGGUAGUCGGGUAAAAUAUCAAAGCCAGAGGUUGUUUUCUUUUAGUUCACAGAUGUAGUUUUGAACACUUGACCUACAGUCACAAAUCUGCUCUCUUUUACUGAAUUUAUUUAUACAUAAUCCAUUUGUAAGUUUACAGCUUCUUGUUACACUUCUAAGAUGAUGCAUAAACAAAUAAAGUACAGAUGUUAGAUCUGCAACACAAAACUGUAUUUUUCUCUUAUGUAAGCAAUAUCAACGUGAAUGAAAUAUGCACAUAAAUGAACUGAAUCCUGGUUAGUAUGCUAUUGUUUAUGAUGUUGCCAUCCAGCAUUACCAGUAGACAUGAAAUAAUGCAUGCACCAAAUGGUGCAGUUCCGCAAAGGCUAAAUGCAAAACAGGAUAAUGAUUACUUUAAUGAGAAACAUACGCAGAGAUGACUUUACUGUACACUUACAUUACAUUAUAGCAUUUUUUCCGUCACAUUUUUAGAUGAAUUAUCAUAAUUAACAAUCUUAAAAAUGAAAAAGAUAGAUAAAAUGUUAUGACUAUUAUUAAUGUUUACUACUAUGGCUACUUUACUACUAAAUGAUGACAUUGGAUUUGUAAAAAAAAAAAAAUUAUGUAGUAAAAUAGAAUUACAUGAAUGAAAAAAACUGUCUUGCAUUACUGCCAGUCUUUUCAGUGUACAACAUCUACAAUUUGGUGAAGAACGCACCACAAAACAAGAUAAAACUUGCUAAAAAUGCAGAAAUUACACUGGGUCAUAGCUGUUGCAAAGAGGUUCUUUGUGUGCAUACUACAAAAUUCUCAACUCAACUUCUACAAAAUUAAGUUUCUAGUAAAUACUGUUUAAGGUAUAGAUAAAAUCGAGUUUUGACUUCACUAUAGUAAAGAAUGAUACUGAGAACAACUGCAUCUAACUGCAGUAGUUCCUAAUUGAUUUAAAACAGUGAUGCUCAUUUAGCAGCCUGCGGGUCACAUCUGGCUCCAGCUUAAAACUGCCCACCCGAUCAAUUUCUCAGCUUUAAGAGCCAGUGCCUGCAGUCAAUUCAAUCUGUAGUUUUAGGAACGCCAUUUAAUUGCAGUUUGUAAGGUAAGGUUGGAUGGCUAAACAUUGAAUUGCUUGUAACAUACUGUACAUCUCUACUGGCUCUUGGAAGGGACUUCCCCAGAUUCUUGGCCAAAUUCAGCCAAGCUAAAUGGUCUUUUUGUGUUUACUUUGACCUUAAGCAAGGUCAUGAACAAAUAUUUCUACUUCGGGAUAUUUCCAGGAUUCCACAAAAGUCAAACCAGUCUUAAGAGAACCAUUUACAUGUGGGAAUUAAACCAGGGGGGUGUUUUGUGGACCACCGGUAUUCAUUGUGAAAAAUUAAAACAUUUUAUCUACUUCCUGGUUUAAGGUUGUGUAUUCACUCUCCAUUUACAAUGUGUGACUGUGUUCACAUUUUUAGUUGAAUAUUUAAAUUGUAAGUACUUUGAUUAAAUUCCUGAAUAGAGAUCGCAUGUCCUUUACAUCCAGUUUUGCAGCUGCUCUGGUAGAGAUUUUGUUUGCUGCAGAAAUAAUAAGAUAUCAGAUUAGACUACAGUUUGAUCUGCUAAUCCACACCAAACCAGUUUUUGCUCCUAUACAGUGCAGUCUACAACAAAGAACUGCUCAAAUUAAAAAGGCUGUGAGUCAAAUAAAACAUUGUUUGCAGAGAUGUAGAAAAUAAUGGUUAUAAACAUUGAAAAUUGUUACAUUCCCCCCCUCCCCCCAAAAGAUACACUGUUAUUGUUUUAGCCUCUAAAAACAGUGAACAUUGCUGUCAUUCCUUAAUGAUUAAAGCCAGCACUUUUCCAAUUAUGGUAUCUAAUGUUGGGUAAAUAUAUUGU